UUGUCGUUAAGUUCUUUGGCAGCCUCGAUUGUGGUCGUGAUGACGACUUCCUCGUCCUCAUCGAAUUCCCCGACUAUGCGAGUAUGUUUUAUUCUUUUA